AAGAUGGCGACCGGCGCACGGGUGAGUAACACGUAUCCAACCCACCGAUAACUCUGGAAUAGCCUUUCGAAAGAAAGAUUAAUACCGGAUAGCAUACGAAUAUCGCAUGAUAUUUUUAUUAAAGAAUUUCGGUUAUCGAUGGGGAUGCGUUCCAUUAGUUUGUUGGCGGGGUAACGGCCCACCAAGACUACGAUGGAUAGGGGUUCUGAGAGGAAGGUCCCCCACAUUGGAACUGAGACACGGUCCAA
rnacentral:rRNA from 1 species